AAGUCGUAACAAGGUCUCCGUUGGUGAACCAGCGGAGGGAUCAUUACUGAGUAUCUUACUCUCUACCCUUUGUGAACUAUUAUACCUGUUGCUUCGGCGGCGUCCCCCCGGGGGCGCCCGCCGGAGACCCAAAACUCUUGUAUUUCUUUAGUAUCUUCUGAGUAAACAAGCAAAUAAAUUAAAACUUUCAACAACGGAUCUCUUGGUUCUG
rnacentral:misc_RNA from 1 species